rnacentral:rRNA from 1 species
CUUGGUCAUUUAGAGGAAGUAAAAGUCGUAACAAGGUUUCCGUAGGUGAACCUGCGGAAGGAUCAUUAAAAAAAAAUACGCCUGGUGCAGUGCUAACACACUAAUCCAGGUUGUAUAUAACCACCUGUUUACCUUUACCUGUUGCUUCCGUGGAAUACGGGUGCUCUUCCUGUUCGCAGGCUUGAGUUACCUUCCACGGGUGUAUUCAAAAACUCGUUUUGUAAUUUUGUCUGAUUUAAAAUUUUAAUUAAAGUUAAAACUUUCAACAACGGAUCUCUAGGUUCUCGCAUCGAUGAAGAACGCAGCGAAACGCGAUAAGUAGUGUGAAUUGCAGAUUUCAGUGAAUCAUCGAAUCUUUGAACGCACAUUGCGCCCUUUGGUAUUCCGAAGGGCAUGCCUGUCUGAGCGUCAAUAAAUCAAUCAAACUUUGGUUUGGUAUUGGGAGAAGUGGUUUUGCCUCUCUCCUUUAAGCUAUUGGCGACGCUAUUUCAGCUUGUAAGACGUAGUAAGUAAUUCCUCGUCAAAGCAACUGUAUGGUAGUCUGCCAACUGAACGAUUUAUUUUACAGCUUGGCCUCAGAUCAGGUAGGGAUACCCCCUGAACUUAAGCAUAUCAAUAAGCGGAGGA